rnacentral:rRNA from 1 species
CAGCCGCCGCGGGAAUACGGAGGGGGCUAGCGUUGUUCGGAAUUACUGGGCGUAAAGCGUACGUAGGCGGUUUUGUAAGUUAGAGGUGAAAGCCCGGAGCUCAACUCCGGAAUUGCCUUUAAGACUGCAUCACUUGAAUCGUGGAGAGGUGAGUGGAAUUCCGAGUGUAGAGGUGAAAUUCGUAGAUAUUCGGAAGAGCACCAGUGGCGAAGGCGGCUCACUGGACACGUAAUGACGCUGAGGUACGAAAGCGUGGGGAGCAAACAGGAUUAGAUACCCCUGUAGUCCCUGUCUCUUAUAC